UACGUAGGGUGCGAGCGUUGUCCGGAAUUAUUGGGCGUAAAGAGCUCGUAGGCGGUUUGUUGCGUCUAUCGUGAAAACCUGCAGCUUAACUGUGGGCUUGCGGUGGAUACGGGCAGACUUGAGUUCGGUAGGGGAGACUGGAAUUCCUGGUGUAGCGGUGAAAUGCGCAGAUAUCAGGAGGAACACCGGUGGCGAAGGCGGGUCUCUGGGCAUUAACUGACGCUGAGGAGCGAAAGCAUGGGGAGCGAACAGG
rnacentral:rRNA from 1 species